rnacentral:rRNA from 1 species
AACGAACGCUGGCGGCAUGCCUAACACAUGCAAGUCGAACGAGACCUUCGGGUCUAGUGGCGCACGGGUGCGUAACGCGUGGGAACCUGCCCUUAGGUUCGGAAUAACUCCCCGAAAGGGGUGCUAAUACCGGAUAAUGUCCUCGGACCAAAGAUUUAUCGCCUUUGGAUGGGCCCGCGUUGGAUUAGCUAGUUGGUAGGGUAAAAGCCUACCAAGGCGACGAUCCAUAGCUGGUCUGAGAGGAUGAUCAGCCACACUGGGAAUGAGACACGGCCCAGACUCCUACGGGAGGCAGCAGUGGGGAAUAUUGGACGAGGGGCGAAAGCCUGAUCCAGCAAUGCCGCGUGAGUGAUGAAGGCCUUAGGGUUGUAAAGCUCUUUUACCCGGGAUGAUAAUGACAGUACCGGGAGAAUAAGCGCCGGCUAACUCCGUG